rnacentral:tRNA from 1 species
GGGGCGGUGGCGGAACGGCAGACGCUGCGGACUUAAAAUCCGCUGGAGGAUAACUCCGUGCGGGUUCGAAUCCCGCCCGCCCUA